rnacentral:rRNA from 1 species
CGCGUAGGCGGUUUUGUAAGUCGGGGGUGAAAUGCUGCGGCUCAACCGCAGCGCUGCCUUCGAGACUGCAAGACUGGAGCACGGUAGAGGCGGAUGGAAUUCCCGGUGUAGCGGUGGAAUGCGUAGAGAUCGGGAAGAACACCAAUGGCGAAGGCAGUCCGCUGGGCCGUUGCUGACGCUGAGGCGCGACAGCGUGGGGAGCAAACAGGAUUAGAUACCCUGGUAGUCCACGCCGUAAACGAUGGGCACUAGGCGUCGGGGGGAGCGACCCUCCCGGUGCCGUCGCUAACGCAGUAAGUGCCCCGCCUGGGGAGUACGGCCGCAAGGUUGAA